rnacentral:rRNA from 1 species
ACGGGUGAGUAAUACAUCGGAACGUGCCCUGUAGUGGGGGAUAACUAGUCGAAAGAUUAGCUAAUACCGCAUACGACCUGAGGGUGAAAGUGGGGGACCGCAAGGCCUCAUGCUAUAGGAGCGGCCGAUGUCUGAUUAGCUAGUUGGUGAGGUAAAGGCUCACCAAGGCGACGAUCAGUAGCUGGUCUGAGAGGACGAUCAGCCACACUGGGACUGAGACACGGCCCAGACUCCUACGGGAGGCAGCAGUGGGGAAUUUUGGACAAUGGGGCCAACCCUGAUCCAGCAAUGCCGCGUGUGUGAAGAAGGCCUUCGGGUUGUAAAGCACUUUUGUCCGGAAAGAAAUCGCACUUACUAAUAUUAGGUGUGGAUGACGGUACCGGAAGAAUAAGGACCGGCUAACUACGUGCCAGCAGCCGCGGUAAUACGUAGGGUCCAAGCGUUAAUCGGAAUUACUGGGCGUAAAGCGUGCGCAGGCGGUUGUGCAAGACCGAUGUGAAAUCCCCGGGCUUAACCUGGGAAUUGCAUUGGUGACUGCACGGCUAGAGUGUGUCAGAGGGGGGUAGAAUUCCACGU